rnacentral:rRNA from 1 species
GACGAACGCUGGCGGCGUGCCUAAUACAUGCAAGUAGAACGCUGAAGGAGGAGCUUGCUUCUCUGGAUGAGUUGCGAACGGGUGAGUAACGCGUAGGUAACCUGCCUGGUAGCGGGGGAUAACUAUUGGAAACGAUAGCUAAUACCGCAUAAGAGUAGAUGUUGCAUGACAUUUGCUUAAAAGGUGCAAUUGCAUCACUACCAGAUGGACCUGCGUUGUAUUAGCUAGUUGGUGGGGUAACGGCUCACCAAGGCGACGAUACAUAGCCGACCUGAGAGGGUGAUCGGCCACACUGGGACUGAGACACGGCCCAGACUCCUACGGGAGGCAGCAGUAGGGAAUCUUCGGCAAUGGACGGAAGUCUGACCAAGCAACGCCGCGUGAGUGAAGAAGGUUUUCGGAUCGUAAAGCUCUGUUGUAAGAGAAGAACGAGUGUGAGAGUGGAAAGUUCACACUGUGACGGUAUCUUACCAGAAAGGGACGGCUAACUACGUG